GAUGAACGCUGGCGGCGUGCCUAAUACAUGCAAGUCGAGCGAAUGGAUUAAGAGCUUGCUCUUAUGAAGUUAGCGGCGGACGGGUGAGUAACACGUGGGUAACCUGCCCAUAAGACUGGGAUAACUCCGGGAAACCGGGGCUAAUACCGGAUAACAUUUUGAACCGCAUGGUUCGAAAUUGAAAGGCGGCUUCGGCUGUCACUUAUGGAUGGACCCGCGUCGCAUUAGCUAGUGGGUGAGGUAACGGCUCACCAAGGCAACGAUGCGUAGCCGACCUUAGAGGGUGAUGGGCCACACGGGGACUGAGACACGGCCCAGACUCCUACGGGGGGCAGCAGUAGGGAAUCUUCCGCAAUGGACGAAAGUCUGACGGAGCAACGCCGCGUGAGUGAUGAAGGCUUUCGGGUCGUAAAACUCUGUUGUUAGGGAAGAACAAGUGCUAGUUGAAUAAGCUGGCACCUUGACGGUACCUAACCAGAAAGCCACGGCUAACUACGUGCCAGCAGCCGCAGUAA
rnacentral:rRNA from 1 species